ACAGUAAUAGUUGAUAAUCAUAGUAAAUAUAAUACGUUUUAAAUGUGACAGUAUUUUUCUGUUUUUUACAGACAUUUUCUGGCGCCCCCUGCUUUUUUUUUACAGUGUAUGUAUAAUGGAUGGCACAGGGGAACAGCUGCCCAGGUCUUGUAGCACUUGGACUUUCGCAGAUCCUUCUGUUCAUAGGAGACAGGGGCGGAGCCAACGCCCUAGACAAGUGGGCGGGACUAACUUGGGGGCACUGGAAAAAGACAAAUUUCAGCAUCUGAAAGCAGCAAAGUCAGCAUACAGCUACAUGAAGGCAGCAGUCUGAACUGAAGAUUGAGGCGUGUUUGCGGCUCUUCAGUCUGGCCGAGUCACAGGAGGCUGAUGGUAUGCAUAGGAAGAGCAGCCAGGCGAGAGUUGCAGUAGUCAAGCCUCGA
rnacentral:lncRNA from 1 species